AAUUUAUUAUAUCUACCAAAACAGAAUAUCUACAUACUAUAGCUGAAAACAAAAGAAAAAUCUAAUUUUCUGUAUAAAGCUGUCAAUAAAAAUUCAUCAGUUAUCACGUUUUAAACUCACCCUGGGAAAUAUUUUAUUGUCAGACAUCUAAACCAAGACAUUAGUAGACUUAGAUGGAUAAUACAGUCAUGUUUGUCUUUCUAAGCAGGUUUGGUUACCUUGUGUGUGUGUUUGGCCAAACACAUCUUAAUGUUUUUUUAACCAUUUGGAUGACAUUCUUAGUUUAAUCUUAGUGUUAUAUAAUUGACUUAUACUUUCCUGGUUGUUAAACAAACAAGCCUAAUCAGGUCAGAACAUGUUUUCACUCUGAAGUUAUUUUUCUAGUUGUUCCCCAAGAGUUGGAGGAUGAUGUUUUUAUAAUUUACAAUGUUUAAUAAUGUAAAGUCAAAUUAGGCAGACGAGAUUGGACUUUAACGUAACAUAUUUUAUUCUGUUGCUCUGAGUGAUAUACAUUCAUAUCAAGGAAAUAUACUUCAACACCAUACAAUACAAAACAGAUGGAGAAAACACUGCACCAAUACUGCCAGGACUACAUGCGUGUAAGUUGUAUGUACAUGACAUAACCAAAGUGUUAAUGGAGUGUAACAAUAAUGGAUUGUCUUUACAUUUGUGCUUUCAGUAUGCAAAGAUUUGACAUUUCCUUAAUGACAUGCACAACCAAAGUUACAGCUUAAUGAGUUUUCAACCAGUGCACCAAAAUUCACUGCUGCAAUGUGAAAUCCCAUUUAUUAGAUUUCAUUAUGAUGCCAAAAGAAAAUAAAAAAUCAAUGCUAAUA